AAACUUUAUUUAGCUCUAUAUAAAUUAGUUACAUUAUCGCCUAUAAAUAUUUUAAAAAAUUGUUAGCUUUUUAUUAUAUAAUAUUCUCAUUGUCAACUUUAUCUUGUUCUUCCAUUUGCGUCAUACCUCGGGGAGUCUAAUCCUUCCCAAACACAACUACCAGAUGAUGACAAGUACGAAAUUGUAGCAUGGGACGUGAACACCAUAGAUAUUGAUCUUUUGCCUCUCGCUCAGAACUUUUACGAGUAAUCCCUCCGAGGAAAAGAAUACUCCUGAAGAAUCUUUAAAAAAUUUUAUGCGACCUAAACGUGGAGUCUCUUCAAUCCCUAAACAGUUUAUAGGGGAGUGAACCAGUCAAUCAUUUUAUUCGGAUAAAAAUUUUGCCAGAUGGUUUUAAUAUUUAAAAAACGAAUUCUUCGGCCUCAAAUGUGUGGAUUCGUAUUUUAUAGAUCAAAGUUUUGUUAAAUGGAAGGUGUAAGAGGCAAAAUGUUCAAUGAUGGAUGGCAAUUGGAGUAAAAAAAUUGAAGUUAUCUAAUAUUUUGUAUUUGUUUAUAUUUUUUUUGUUUCGGCUAGAGUAAGUGCAAUUGAUAUUUGUGGGGAAAGUGGUAACACGUAUAAACGCAGAUGAGAAAUUUACCCAGAACCUAUGGUAGAGUUUUAAGACCAUCAGGCCUCACAACAUCUGAUAAAAGACAGAGAAGUUUAUUUAUUGAUGAAUGGCGCUGAUAACGACCCAGCCUUCUGCCCUUAGCACUAACUUGUAAGUUAUAAUUAAGGCAACUAUUAUGUAUAGUAAAAUUGGAACCAACUAACAGAAAAUUUUUCAAGAGUUUGUUUUUGAACCUAGUUAGCCCCGAACCCGUGGUUAGUUGGAUCAUCGAUGGGGCUAGUCGAAUCAAGUGGUUUAUUAGGCUUCUUAUGGGAAAAAAAAAUAUUUUUUCAGAUUUUAAUAUAUAACUAUGAUAUAUUUACAAUUAUAACAAAUAAAAUAACAAUCUUUUUGACAAAUAACCACUCUACAUUGAAACUAAUCUUCAAAAUUAUGAAAACUUUUAUAAUCCUGU